CCUACGGGAGGCAGCAGUGGGGAAUAUUGGACAAUGGGGGGAACCCUGAUCCAGCCAUGCCGCGUGUGUGAAGAAGGCCCUCGGGUUGUAAAGCACUUUCAGUGAGGAAGAACGCCUGGUGGUUAAUACCCAUCAGGAAAGACAUCACUCACAGAAGAAGCACCGGCUAACUCCGUGCCAGCAGCCGCGGUAAUACGGAGGGUGCGAGCGUUAAUCGGAAUUACUGGGCGUAAAGCGCGCGUAGGUGGCUUGAUAAGCCGGUUGUGAAAGCCCCGGGCUCAACCUGGGAACGGCAUCCGGAACUGUCAAGCUAGAGUGCAGGAGAGGAAGGUAGAAUUCCCGGUGUAGCGGUGAAAUGCGUAGAGAUCGGGAGGAAUACCAGUGGCGAGGCGGCCUUCUGGACUGACACUGACACUGAGGUGCGAAAGCGUGGGUAGCAAACAGGAUUAGAUACCCCGGUAGUC
rnacentral:rRNA from 1 species